rnacentral:rRNA from 1 species
ACGAAGGGGGCUAGCGUUGUUCGGAAUUACUGGGCGUAAAGCGCGCGCAGGUGGUUUCUCAAGUCAGUGGUGAAAGCCCGGAGCUCAACUCCGGAACUGCCAUUGAAACUGUGGAACUCGAGGACGAGAGAGGUGAGUGGAAUUCCGAGUGUAGAGGUGAAAUUCGUAGAUAUUCGGAAGAACACCGGUGGCGAAGGCGGCUCACUGGCUCGUAUCUGACACUCAAGCGCGACAGCGUGGGGAUCAAACAGGAUUAGAUACCCUGGUAGUCCACGCCGUAAACGAUGAUUGCUAGCCGUUGGGCAGCUUGCUGUUCAGUGGCGCAGCUAACGCAUUAAGCAAUCCGCCUGGGGAGUACGGCCGCAAGGUUG